AGUUAUUUUCAAGCUGCCUCCUGAUUAUUUUCACCUGUGAAAGCCCUGAAUCAUCAGUCCUGCUGAACUGCCUGCAGACUAACAACACAAACAGGUAAACUUUAUACUGUAAGCUUCAUUCCCUUUAAAGCAGAGUUUUUAUAUGUGAGGUAAUCUUGCUGGGAGUGAAGGCAGUGCGUAUGACCGCUUGAUAUGAGAGACACAUUCUAUUUUUAAAGGUCAACAUACUGUAAGCUUCAUUCCCUUUAAAGCAGGUAAUCUUCAUAUUGUUUUAAAUGAUAUAUUUUAGGGACUCUGCUUUAACAAUGACUUAGGAUAAUGAUUUGUUAUAGUGUUUGUUAUAAAGCAUAUACAUGUAUAUUUUACAUUAAGUUUAUUAAACUAAUUAUGAAAAGAAUGUGGUACAACAUGUGUUUAGUUUUUUUAUUGAUAUUUCAGAGUUUUUAUAUGUGAGGUAAUCUUGCUGGGAGUGAAGGCAGUGCGUAUGACCGCUUGAUAUGAGAGACACAUUCUAUUUUUAAAGGUGAUGUAUGCAUGUUACUUUCAAUGCUGGCAUUAAAAUAAUAGUUAUUUACCGUUUAAACAUUUUGGAGAUUGUGUGUGUGAUCUUGUGGCACAUUUACUUGUGAUAACAGAAUUAUUUUUGUCUAUCUGUUGUAGGUGGAUCGUGAGUGAAGCUCUGCAGGUCUGCCAUUAGCUUGAUAACAGUGAUUUAUGUUAAUUGAGUGAAUUCAAUUUAUAAAUAAAUCUUUCACCAAGCACUCACCUAUUUACUGACAAAACAGAUCCAAAUCUUGUUCAGCCUGAUGCUCAACCUUGUAUGAUGAUGACCACAGCCAGGUGAUGGAGAUCUGUGUUAUUCACAGCCUGCGUCUCAAGAUCAACAUGACAAUAGCAGACCAUUUCUUAUCUUACUCUUAUCUGACUAAAUGUUCAGCAUCAUUGCAACAAAACAAAGAACAUUGGAUGGAGUAUUGGAGUAUUGGAUGAUCCCGUAAAGAAAAUAAUAUGGACUUUUUUGGUGAGAUUCUACAAAGAUUGACACAAUCCUAUUGUCUUUUAUUUUUACAGUUAAUAAUGCAUUAUAAACAUCCCAUUCAUUUGUAUUCUAUGUCAUCGAUCUGUUUGUGCUAAAAUGUAUACAUCUGAAUGUAAUGUCAAUAAUAUGUUAAUAUUCAGGAUUUAUUAUCAUAUGCAUGUUUUGAUGUUGCAUGUCAUGAUUUUAUUGAUUUCAUGUAAUUGUUGUCUAUUUAAAAUGAUUUUAAUUGCCAAAUUUUAUUGUUAAUUUAUUUAAUAUUGAAGCUGUUAUUUAACAGCCAUAUCUUAUUUGAGUAGUGAUUUGUUAUAUUUGCAUAAUAAUUCAUAUAUUUAUUCUGAUUGUGAUUUUAAUGCACAUAUUUAUUAUUGUAUGACACCUCAUGUAAUGAAAAAGUGAAAAUAAAAGUAUGUUCUGAUGUCUUGCAAUUCUGUUUUUAAACUGUUAAACCUUAUAAAGUGCUAUAAAUAAGAAAAAAACAAAUAAAAAAUAAUCCUCCUGACUGCUGAUAAAUGAAAGGGUUCUUUAUAGCACCACUGAGGUUCUAUUUAGCACUUUUUCAAGGCAAGGUUCUAUAUAGAACCAUCUAAAAAAGGGUUCUAUAUAGUACCAGAAAGGGUGCUGCUAUUGUUACAAGCUGAAGAACCCUUAUUUGGUACUAUAUAGAACCAUUUUUCUUA